GACGAACGCUGGCGGCGUGCUUAACACAUGCAAGUCGAGCGGUAAGGCCCUUUCGGGGGUACGACGAGCGGCGAACGGGUGAGUAACACGUGGGUGACCUGCCCUUAGCUCUGGGAUAAGCCUGGGAAACGUAGGGUCUAAUACCGGAUAUGACUCCAUAACGCAUGUUGUGGGGUGGAAAGCCUUGUGCGGCUAGGGAUGGGCCCGCGGCCUAUCAGCUUGUUGGUGGGGUGAUGGCCACCAAGGCGACGACGGGUAGCCGGCCUGAGAGGGCGACCGGCCACACUGGGACUGAGACACGGCCCAGACUCCUACGGGAGGCAGCAGUGGGGAAUCUUGCGCAAUGGGCGAAAGCCUGACGCAGCGACGCCGCGUGGGGA
rnacentral:rRNA from 1 species